rnacentral:rRNA from 1 species
CCUGGCUCAGGACGAACGCUGGCGGCGUGCUUAACACAUGCAAGUCGAACGGUGAUGCUCCAAGCUUGCUGGGGUUGAUGAGUGGCGAACGGGUGAGUAACACGUGAGUAACCUGCCCCCUUCUUCUGGAUAACUGCCUGAAAGGGUAGCUAAUACGGGAUAUUCUGGCCUGCUCGCAUGGGUGGGUUUGGAAAGGUUUUUUCUGGUGGGGGAUGGGCUCGCGGCCUAUCAGCUUGUUGGUGGGGUGAUGGCCUACCAAGGCGGUGACGGGUAGCCGGCCUGAGAGGGUGGACGGCCACACUGGGACUGAGACACGGCCCAGACUCCUACGGGAGGCAGCAGUGGGGAAUAUUGCACAAUGGGCGCAAGCCUGAUGCAGCGACGCCGCGUGAGGGAUGGAGGCCUUCGGGUUGUGAACCUCUUUCGCCAGUGAAGCAGGCCAUGCCUUCUUGGUGUGGUUGACGGUAGCUGGAUAAGAAGCGCCGGCUAACUACGUGCCAGCAGCCGCGGUAAUACGUAGGGCGCGAGCGUUGUCCGGAAUUAUUGGGCGUAAAGAGCUCGUAGGCGGCUGGUCGCGUCUGUCGUGAAAUCCCCUGGCUUAACUGGGGGCUUGCGGUGGGUACGGGCCGGCUUGAGUGCGGUAGGGGAGACUGGAAUUCCUGGUGUAGCGGUGGAAUGCGCAGAUAUCAGGAGGAACACCGGUGGCGAAGGCGGGUCUCUGGGCCGUUACUGACGCUGAGGAGCGAAAGCGUGGGGAGCGAACAGGAUUAGAUACCCUGGUAGUCCACGCCGUAAACGUUGGGCACUAGGUGUGGGGGCUCUUUCCGGGGCUUCCGCGCCGCAGCUAACGCAUUAAGUGCCCCGCCUGGGGAGUACGGCCGCAAGGCUAAAACUCAAAGGAAUUGACGGGGGCCCGCACAAGCGGCGGAGCAUGCGGAUUAAUUCGAUGCAACGCGAAGAACCUUACCAAGGCUUGACAUGUGAGCGCCGGUCCCGGAGACGGGGCCUCCUCCUUGUGGGGCGCUCUCACAGGUGGUGCAUGGUUGUCGUCAGCUCGUGUCGUGAGAUGUUGGGUUAAGUCCCGCAACGAGCGCAACCCUUGUCCCGUGUUGCCAGCACGUUGUGGUGGGGACUCGCGGGAGACUGCCGGGGUCAACUCGGAGGAAGGUGGGGAUGACGUCAAAUCAUCAUGCCCCUUAUGUCUUGGGCUUCACGCAUGCUACAAUGGCCGGUACAGAGGGUUGCGAUGUCGUGAGGCGGAGCGGAUCCCUUAAAGCCGGUCUCAGUUCGGAUCGGUGUCUGCAACUCGACACCGUGAAGUUGGAGUCGCUAGUAAUCGCAGAUCAGCAACGCUGCGGUGAAUACGUUCUCGGGCCUUGUACACACCGCCCGUCACGUCAUGAAAGUCGGCAACACCCGAAGCCCGUGGC